rnacentral:rRNA from 1 species
CCUACGGGUGGCAGCAGUGGGGAAUAUUGGACAAUGGGGGCAACCCUGAUCCAGCCAUGCCGCGUGUGUGAAGAAGGCCCUCGGGUUGUAAAGCACUUUCAGUGAGGAAGAACGCCUGGUGGUUAAUACCCAUCAGGAAAGACAUCACUCACAGAAGAAGCACCGGCUAACUCCGUGCCAGCAGUCGCGGUAAUACGGAGGGUGCGAGCGUUAAUCGGAAUUACUGGGCGUAAAGCGCGCGUAGGUGGCUUGAUAAGCCGGUUGUGAAAGCCCCGGGCUCAACCUGGGAACGGCAUCCGGAACUGUCAAGCUAGAGUGCAGGAGAGGAAGGUAGAAUUCCCGGUGUAGCGGUGAAAUGCGUAGAGAUCGGGAGGAAUAACAGUGGCGAAGGCGGCCUUCUGGACUGACACUGACACUGAGGUGCGAAAGCGUGGGUAGCAAACAGGAUUAGAUACCCUGGUAGUC